ACUCAUGGAACAUGUGGGCAUGCUUCCAUAGGUGACGGGGAUAUCAUGGACCGAUCACCCCAAGGAUGGCAGGCUCAGACUCCUUACUACAGCAAAGGUGUUUAUUCUAAGUCUCCAGUAUACACACACCAACUGACACUGUUGCCUCAUGAACCGCAAAGUUUGUCCGAAGCCUGGAGUCUUCUCCGAGCCCUCCAUCUGGCAGGUCAACCACAACUCCACACUGCUUGUCAAAUGAUGGUCAUUCUGUGGCCGAUCACUCUUCUAAGAAACCCCAGAGAACUCUGAAGAGUAUAGUCGAAAGCGCUAAAUAAAGGAUGGCUCCUGGGUUACCCAUUAGAGGCAAAGAGUGUGCUCACUAAAUUCUUUUUUGAUGGAGGGCAGACAAGUGGCUGAACACCGCAUCAUCUGAAAUACACAGCAGCCAGAGGCUGUGAAGGAGAAAUCCAAAGAAUCCAAAGACAAGACGUACGAGAGUGUCUCAGGCUCUGCCUGGUGACUGGGAUUAAUCUGUCACCAGUGAGCUUUCCCAGGUAUAAGCUACUGAUGUCCUUGAGCAACCUCCCUGGGUUUCAGCCAUCAACAGAGCCAAGCCAGACUGCCUUCUCAAUGAUUCGCUUUGCUCCCCCUGCAAAUAGAUAUAGUAAAACUGCAAUCUGCAGAAAAUAAUA